GAUGAACGCUGGCGGCGUGCCUAAUACAUGCAAGUCGAGCGAACGGACGAGAAGCUUGCUUUUCUGAUGUUAGCGGCGGAGGGGGGAGUAACACGUGGAUAACCUACCUAUAAGACUGGGAUAACUUCGGGAAACCGGAGCUAAUACCGGAUAAUAUUUUGAACCGCAUGGUUCAAAAGUGAAAGACGGUCUUGCUGUCACUUAUAGAUGGAUCCGCGCUGCAUUAGCUAGUUGGUAAGGUAACGGCUUACCAAGGCAACGAUGCAUAGCCGACCUGAGAGGGUGAUCGGCCACACUGGAACUGAGACACGGUCCAGACUCCUACGGGAGGCAGCAGUAGGGAAUCUUCCGCAAUGGGCGAAAGCCUGACGGAGCAACGCCGCGUGAGUGAUGAAGGUCUUCGGAUCGUAAAACUCUGUUAUUAGGGAAGAACAUAUGUGUAAGUAACUGUGCACAUCUUGACGGUACCUAAUCAGAAAGCCACGGCUAACUACGUG
rnacentral:rRNA from 1 species